rnacentral:lncRNA from 1 species
CUUCUAUACAUAGGUUGCAUAUGAAACGACAGUAAAAGCUUAUAUUUGUUUGUGGUGUCUUAAGUGUAGUAUAAUGGCCAUGGCAAUAGGAAAUAACAUAGUAAAUAAAAAUAACAUAGUAAAUCACAAGACUGGCAAUAGGAAAUUAUAUAAAUAUCUAACAACGAAUAAAGCAAUGGAUAUUGAAGAGUAACUUCUAAAAGUUUAUGUAAAUUAAACUGUUUGUAUCAAUAUCUGAAAAACAAUCCAACAGGGAUCAACCUAGUAAUGAAUACUUCUUUCCUGUGAAGCUUGAAAUUCUUUGUUUUUGUCUUCUUCUUAGGUGACUCUUGAUUUUCAUUUUUUAGAGAAACAUUAGCUGCAUUUCCUUUUGACCCAAACAACGCUUUCCAGAAGAACUCUUGGUUCUAUUUUCAGUUUUGUUGCUGCUGCUUUAGAAUGGAGUCGACUCGCUUCAACUGACUGUGUCGCCGGUUUCCAUCCAAACGCCGUCCGAACCACUGAACGAAUCACUUCAGGAGUCUUUGUUUCUGCCUCUUCUUCAACUGAAAUGCAGAAUAUAUAUAGUCAAAACUUCACUUGAAAACAGACAGAAGAUAAUAAAAAGAAUCCAAACCUUGUGGAGAUUCCUUAUCAGACAAAUCAGAUGGCAAAUUCUUCUCAGGUUCUUUGUAAUCAAGAGGUGGGGAAAAUCAACCUCACAGUCUGUUUCAAUAUAGAAAUAGCGGAAAGGUUUCGUUCAACCACCAUCAAUGUGAAUUACCUUUUUGUUGUUAUACGGAAUCAUUAUAGUGCGGCCAGUUGUUAAACAUGAGUAACUCCUCAACGAAGUUUCUAACCUGAAAAUGAUCACGGAAAAGAAACAAAAUAUUAGUUUUACCGACACAAAUAUGAUACUUAAGAAACACGUAACUAGAUAGGAUAUUAUUCAACUAUCAUUCAUACAUUGCUUUUGGAUUAGUGAUAUCUAGAAAAUCUUUGGAGUGAGGCUGCAGUUUCACAAACUUUCCUUUGACAAGACUUGUGUUUUUCAGAGAUACAAUGUCUCCAUUCUGUAAGAGCAUAUCUUCCAUCAUCUGAAAAUUACAACAUAAAAACAUCACCAUCUUAUGUAAAUUAAAACGGUUACUCAGUAAACUAUGAAAGGAAAACAUGUAUACCCAAUUUGGUAAGGACACCGUCCCUUCGUCAGCUGUGAAUUCUAAAACUCCGCAGUGAGUAGUUAUUUCAGCAGAAAGAUUUCUCAGUUCAAAUAACAUUGGAUAUUCUAUGUUCAUACGAGCUGCAAGAUUUUAACAAGAAUAUGAGUAUGAAUUUAAGAUAGGAAAAAUAUUCAAAUCGUUGAAACUUGAGUUACGACUAUAAACUUACCGAGGCGUUCUAGAGCCGAAGCAGGCAUGAUAACUGAAAGAAAAGAGAAUUUGCGUUAGCUAUCAAAAUUAUCACAAUGAUUGAUGAUUGAUACAAAAGUAUAAAACGUAACCAAGUAAGAUGCUAGGGCACAUACUUUUAUCACCACAUUCCAAAAUUGGCUGCAAAAUAUCAGAAAAGAAAGAAUCAGUAUUAUUGAAUAUUUUACAAAGAUGAUCUAAGCUUAUAUUUGAAGCAUACCCUAUCGAGAGAUGAGACCGAAAAACAACGGUAAGAAUGCUCAAAAAUUGCAUUCUGCCGCAGAUUCCUCCUAUGCCCAUAAAAAACCUCAUUCCACUGAUGAUCUAGAUGAUCAUUCUGCUGCAGAUUCCUCUCAUACUCAUGAAUAUCCUCAUUCAACCGAUUUAGAUGAUCAUUCUGCUGCAGAUUCCUCGGAUACUGAUGAAUAUCCUCAGCGAACUGAUCUAGAUCCUCAUAAAAAUCCUCAUCCGACUGAUCAUCAUCAUAUUCAUAUGAGUGAUUACUUAUUUGAUCUUCAGACAAAUUACUUUCAGGUGAAACAUUAUUCACCUCUUGCAAACCCUCAUUCAACUGAUUUUCAUGAGAAUUCUACAAGAAAAAAACAGUUAAUGCAAGCACAUUAAUAACCAUAAUAAGCAACAAAGAACUCAGCAUUAACAUAUAUAUUCUGAAUUAAGAACAUACAAACUAUAAGCAACAUAAAAUAACUAGCAAUAAUCAAGUUUCAUAUAUAGAACAUUAUCAUCGCACUAACCUUGGAAUAAAAAAAAAACACCGAGUAUUGUUUAGCGAAGAAAGUCCAGUGCUUUGAAAUAACCUUGGAAUAAAAAAAAAACACCGAGUAUUGUUUAGCGAAGAAAGUCCAGUGCUUUGAAGAAAAUUUCUAGUCUCAAAAACAAAUAGUGGUUUGAGAAUAAGGUUUUUACUAGUUUAUAUAAUGACAUGUGAGAGGUUCAAAGGAAUCCUAAUAAUAAGUUGAUGUCGUAAAAGUCUUAAAUUUGUUAUUCUCAAUAAUAUAAUUAUUUCAAAAGAUUUAAUUAUUUCCUUCAAUCUUAUUUAUUUAUGGAUAUAAUUUAUUUUUUUAGAUUUAAUUAUUUUAGAAUAAUUAAUAAUUAUAUAUCUGAUAUAUAGAACAUUAUCAUCGCAUUAACCUUGGAAUAAAAAAAAACAAUGAGUAUUGUUUAGCGAAGAAAGUUCAGUGCUUUGAAGAAAAUUUCUAGUCUCAGAAACAAAUAGUGAUUUGAAAAUAAGGUUUUUACUAGUUUAUAUAAUGGCAUGUGAGAGGUUAAAAGGAAUCCUAAUAAUAAGCUAAAAGUCUUAAAUUUGUUAUUCUCAAUAAUAUAGUUAUUUCAAAAGAUUUAAUUAUUUCCUUCAAUCUUAUUUAUUUAUGGAUAUAAUUUAUUUUUUUAGAUUUGAUUAUUUUAGAAUAAUUAAUAAUUAUAUAUCUGAUAUAUAGAACAUUAUCGUCGCACUAACCUUGGAAUAAAAAAAAAACACCGAGUAUUGUUUAGCGAAGAAAGUCCGGUACUUUGAAGAAAAUGUCUAGUCUCAGAAACAAAUAGUGGUUUGAGAAUAAGGUUUUAACUAGUUUAUAUAAUGACACGUGAGAGGUUCAAAGGAAUCCUUUCGUUGCUUUGUGCACGAAAUCACGUCUCCCCCUCGGUGCCUUUUGCACGAGUAGGGUACCUUUGUAAGAUCUUUGUUUCCCGUUUGUUUAAAUGUUGAUAUAGGUUUGGUGAGUCUCGGGGUUUGGGUAGCCAUGAUUUGAGAACUUCAUCCCCGCCAUUGUGCUUGAGGGACGAUAUGAGGUUUUCAUACCUACUCACAAAGUUCCCCAUCUGUUAGAGUGUGCUAAAGCCCAGAUUCGUCUGACAAAUCCCCUUGAGUCUAGGUUUUACCUAACAGGUUUUGUAUGAUUGUUUUUCCUUAUACACAUGUUUGUGACCUUUUGAAUAGAGUGUGCUAAAGCCCAGAUUCGUCUGACAAAUCCCCUUGAGUCUAGGUUUUACCUAACAGGUUUUGUAUGAUUGUUUUUCCUUAUACACAUGUUUGUGACCUUUUGAUAGUUACUUACCUUUUGCAAGUACUUCCCUGCCUUUUGCAUAAGAGACAAUUCCCUUCUUGCUUACCUUUUGUGAGUUCCUUUUGUGCCUUUUGUAUAAAGACUGUUAUCCCCAGUUGCUUACCUUUUGUAAGUCUCCUCAUUCUUUUGCUCGAGGAUUUAUAAUCCUAAAUCUGCUUAGCUUUUGUAAGCGUCAUUUGCCUUUUGCAUUGAAAAUCUUCUCUUGAUAAGGAGUCAUUGCUACCUUUUGCAUGAGAUAACCAUCCAUUCCAUCUAUCUUCUUAACCUUUCGUUGAGAAGUUUCUCAUUGCCUUUUGUAUGAGAAAUCCUUGCUAGCCUUCUUCUUAACCUCUUUGUUGAGAAAUUUCUCAUUACCCUUCGUAUGAGGAAUCCCAUUCAUCUUUCUUCUUAACCUUUCACUGAGAAGUUUCUCAUUACCUUUUGUAUGAGAGAUCAUAUCCAUUCUUUCUUCUUAACCUUUCAUUGAGAAGAUUGAGAAGUUUCUCAUUACCUUUCGUAUGAAAAGUACCCAACUUUUUUCUUAACCUUUCAUUAAGAAGUUCUCACUACCUUUUGUGUGAAAAUCCCCAGCAGACCUUGUGUCUAGGAGCUCUCGUUAUAUUUUGUACGAGAAUCUCAUUCACAUUCUCUUCUUAACCUUUUGUUAAGAAGUUCUCAUCACCUUUUGUGCGAGAAACUCGACCCUCUUUCUUCUUAACCUUUUGUUUGGAAGCCCCCUUUUUUUCCUUGCUAAGGAGUCGUUGCUACCUAUUGGGCGAGAAAAUCAUAUCUCCCCAGCAAGGUUGUCCCUCAUUCCCAUUUCCUUCUUAACCUUUUGUCAAGUAGUUCUCAUUACCUUUUGUGUGAGAAGUCUGUCCACCUUUUUCCUUUAAUGUAUUUGGAAAUUUCCAUCUCUCUUGCUAAGGAGUCGUUGCUAUCUGUUGCACGAAGAGGUCGUUUCUCAGUUGAGUUGCCUACCUUUUACAAGACUUCUCUUUGCCUUUGGCAGAAAAUCUCUUUUCAAAGUCUUUUUUACCCACGGGUACUUUCCUUUUGCAAACACCUAAUUCUUUUACCUUCGUAGAAUCCUGUGGGAAUACUUCGAUCACCGGUUACAAGCCAAAACUUGUUAGUAGAGGCAAGAAAAUAAAAAAGAAGAAAAAAGAAAAGAAUGAGAAAUUCAGAUAAAGACACAAAAAGAGAUCACUCAUACACCGCAUACUGUAAGAACCCAAUUUUGACCCUAAGAUCCCUCAUGCAAUUCCAUCAUAAGCAUUAGCAUUGGGAUCAUAUCUUGGCAUCCUCCUUAUCCCUCCUUCAUUGGGUUUAUUUUGGGAGAGGUCACUAAGCACUUAGUGAUUAUAUCAUACUUGUAUAUUAUCAUUUUACUAAUCAAAAUAUCAAAAACAUGUAUUUGCAUCUAUCUAAGUCUUUUGUAGGUAGGGCAUGAUCUCAUUGAUUCAUUGAUCACAUCUAGGAUUUGAGGCCCUCAUGAACAAAGAGCACAACCAAGAAUUGAUUCAAGAAUGAUUAUAAGCAUCAUAUAUGAGUCCCAAUGAUCUCUACAUGUUAUAUUGAUCAAAUUUUCUUCAAGAGUUUGAAGGUGAUUUGUUUGGAAACCUAGUUUGAUUGGGUAUCUUGAGUAACUCUCCAACAUCUAUCUCCCAAUUGAAUCAAAUUUCUCAAGGGACAUUCAAAUAUCAUCAUCUUUGAUAUAAUGAUCUACCAUGAGCCAAUAAAGUCAAGGGAUUUGAAAGUUAGCAGUUAGUUGAUGCAUUUGAAAAGGCUUUCAAGUUGGCUGACAUUGACCCUCAAAGAACAGCAAGAGAAAUAUUUUUCCCUCAUUAAUACAAAUGAGAACACUUUACAUUGUUCUUAUUCUUUGACAUGUUAUUGUGACAAUAAUAUUUUAUUUUCUUUCUAUUUGUUGUUCUCUUCAGUUAUUCUUCGCAUGACAGUAUCCGCUAUUUAAUGACAGCGAAACGUUUGGGCCUCCAUACGGUUGCGGUAAGUAGUCCACCCGUUAGUUUUAGACAACUGAAAAAUAGUUUGCAUUUGUUUGAGCACUUCAAUUAAGUAUUAUAAUUAGUGUCCACUUGAGUUUUCCACAUACAUUGUUGUAUUGAUUUGUUUUCCACUUUUGAACAUCAAUUUUUUCCAAAGGAAUGAUAUUUGAAAGAAACAGUUUUAUUUGGAGAUGAUCUUGUAUUCGCUUUAACCCUUCCAUCUAUAUCAUGAAGUGUCAAUUGAACAAGUGCGUUAUCUUAUGUUGUUCAAUUUUUGGUUUUUUUAAUGCAACGAUGUACAUAAAUAUAACAGUGAUAUUGCAAAAGACGAGUUUGAAUAAAGGCAUAGUAAAUAGGAAACGAUUAUAUCAUAAUGAACCAACGAAUAUAGUAACUUCUAAGUUACUGUAAAUUAAACUAUCCUCUACUAAUAUCAAUAUCUGAAAACAAUCCACAAGGAUAUCAACCUUAUUAUGAAACUUUUCCUGUGAAAGCUUGAAAUUCUUUGGUUUUUGUCUUCUUCUUAGGUGACUCUUGACUUUCAGUUUUUAGAGAAACAUUAGCUGCAUUUCCUUUUGACCCAAAAACAAGCUUUCCAGAAGAACUUUUGGUCUUAUUUUCAAUUUCUUGUUGCUGCUGCUUUAGAAUUGGAGUCGAUGCCUGUGUCGCCGGUUUUCCAUCCAAACGCCGUCUCGAACCACAGAACGGAAUCACUUCAGGAGUCUUUGUUAAGGAAUCACUAUGAAAGGAAAACAUGUAUAUCCAAUUUGGUAAGGACACCGUCCCUUCGUCAGCUAUGAAUUCUAAAACUCCGCAGUGAGUAAUUUUAUCAGUAGAAGGACUUCUCAGUUCAAAUAAUAUUGGAUAUUCUAUGUUCAUACGAGCUGUAAGAUUUUAACAAGAAUAUGAAUAUGAAUUUAAGAUAGAAAAAAUAUUUAAAUCGUUGAAACUUGAGUUACGAAUAUAAAGUUACCGAGGCAUUCUAGAGCCGAAGCAGGCAUGAUAACCGAAAGAAAAGAGAAUUUGCAUUAGCUAUUGAAAUUAUCACAAUGAUUGAUGAUUGAUACAAAAGAAUAAAAUGUAACCAAGUAAGAUGUUAGUGCACAUACUUUUAUCACCACAUUCCAGAAUUUUGGCUGCAAAAAAUCAGAAAAGAAAGAAUCAGUAUUUUACAAAGAUGAUCUAUGCUUAUAUUUGAAAACCAUUUGAUGACAUACCCUAUCGAGAGAUGAGACCGAAAAACAACGGUAAGAAUGCUCAAAAAUUGCAUUCUGCCGCAGAUUCCUCCUAAGUCCAUUAAAAACCACAUUGCACUGAUGAUCAUUCUGCCGCAAAUUCCUCGUAUGCUCAUAAAAAAUCCAAUUGCAAUGAUGAUCAUUCUGCUGCAGAUUCCUCCUAUGCCCAUAAAAAACCUCAUUGCACUGAUGAUCAUUCUGCCGCAGAUUCCUCGUAUGCCCAUAAAAAACCCCAUUGCACUGAUGAUCAUUCUGCUGCAGAUUCCUCUUAUGCCCAUAAAAAAACUCAUUGCACUGAUGACCAUUCUGCCGCAGAUUUCUCCUAUGUCCAUAAAAAACCCCAUUGCCCUGAUGAUCAUUCUGCCGCAGAUUCCUCGUAUGCCCAUAAAAAGCCCCAUUGCACUGAUGAUCAUUCUGCUGCACAUUCCUCCUAUGCCCAUAAAAAACCUCAUUCCAUUGAUGAUCUAGAUGAUCAUUCUGCUGCAGAUUCCUCUCAUACUCAUGAAUAUCCUCAUUCAACCGAUUUAGAUGCUCAUUCCGCCGCAGAUUCCUCCUAUGUCCAUAAAAAACCCCAUUGCGCUGAUGAUCGUUCUGCCGCAAAUUCCACCUAUGCCCAUAAAAAACCUCAUUCCACUGAUGAUCUAGAUGAUCAUUCUGCUGCAGAUUCCUCUCGUACUCAUGAAUAUCCUCGUUCAACCGAUUUAGAUGAUCAUUCUGCCGCAGAUUCCUCGUAUGCCCAUAAAAAACCCCAUUGUACUGAUGAUCAUUCUGCUGCAGAUUCCUCCUAUGCCCAUAAAAAACUCCAUUCCACUGAUGAUCUAGAUGAUCAUUCUGCUGCAGAUGCCUCUCAUACUCAUGAAUAUCCUCAUUCAACCUAUUUAGAUGAUCAUUCUGCUGCAUAUUCCUCGGAUACUGAUGAAUAUCCUCAGCUAACUGAUCUAGAUCCUCAUAAAAAUCCUCAUCCGAUUGAUCAUCAUCAUAUUCAUAUGAGUGAUUACUUAUUAGAUCUUCAGACAAAUUAUUUUCAGGUGAAACAUUAUUCACCUCUUGCAAAUCCUCAUUCAACUGAUUUUCAUCCGAAUUCUACAAGAAAAAAACAGUUAAUGCAACCACAUUAAUAACCAUAAUAAGCAACAAAGAACUCAGUAUUAACAUAUAUAUUCUGAAUCAAGAACAUACAAACUUUAAAAUAAAAAAAGACAAAUAACAAACCAUAUUGAGCUGAGAAUAGAUGAUAAUCGAUUAACUGCAAAAGGAAAACAAAAAUAAACUAUAAGCAACAUAAAAGAACUAGCAAUAAUCAAGUUUCAUAUAUAGAACAUUAUCAUCGCACUAACCUUGGAAUUAGAAAAAACCAACGAGUAUUGUUAAGCGAAGAAAGUCCAGUGCUUUGAAAAAAAAUUCUAGUUUCAGAAACAAAUAGUGGUUUGAGAAUAAGGUUUUAACUAGUUUAUAUAAUGACACGUGAGAGGUUCAAAGGAAUCCUAAUAAAUCCAUUAUUUUAAGCCUUAAAAUUCUUAAAUUUGUUAUUCUUAAUAACAUAAUUAUUUCAGAAGAUUUAUCUUAUUUAUUCAUGGAUAUAAUUUAUUUAUUUUUAGAUUUAUUAAAUAACUAAUCUAUCUGAUAUAAUAAUAAGUCAUAUACAUUUAUUAUUUAAUAAAUUUAAAAAAACUGUAAUUUAUAAAUAGAAUCAAAGAGAAUAUUAAAAAAUAAAUUUAAGUAAAAAGGAGUGAUAUAUUAAUAAUAUAAAUUAAUUUUAUACCAUUAAUGUGUAUACCACCAAGUUUAAAAUUUUAAAUUAUUUAGGUGAGAUAUUAGAAUGAUAUAUUCUUACGAUGUCACUAAAUCUAAAAUAUAAAUAUUUUAUUUUCUCUAAAAUAUAAAAGUUCUUAAAUAAUUUAAUGUCUAAAUAAAGUUUAGCAAUUUUUUAUAUUUAGUUUUUUAUUAUUUAAUAGAAAACAAUAUUUCUGGCUCUAACUAUAGAAAAAUCUAAGACUCCUUCUUCAUACAAAUAUAUUUUUAAUGGUCCCUUCAAUUAGUUAAUAAAAUAAUUUAAAUAUUAAAACAUUAUAUUCCUUAAUGCCACAUUAAUUAUAUAUAUAUAUAUAUAUAUAUAGUAUAUAAUAUAUUCUAUAAUAUAAUAUAUAUAUAUAUAUAUAUAUAUAUAUAUAAUAUAUAUAUAUAUUAUUAAUCAAUAUUUAAUGUUUUAAAUUAAUUGAUUUUAAUUAUUAUUUUAUUAAUGGAAAUAUUAUUGUUUUAUUUAUUUUAAUUUUAUAUAUUUUAUAAAUAUAAUCUAUAACAUUAUACUUUUCAAUUGAACGCUAAAUUUUAUAAUAAAAACAUUAAAUAUUUAUAUAUUAAAUUUGACAUUGAUUAUGCUCCCAAUUAAAAAGUAUAAAACUUUUCCAUUAAUCAAAUCAAAAUAUAAAAUAAUACCUCUUUGACAGAUCGUUUUCUAAUUUUCUUUUAUAAAUAUUUAAUUUGAUGAAAAUUUAAAAGGUUAGUUGUUCAUUUAAUAAAAUUAAAUUCAUUAAUAAAUUAAAGAUUAGUUGCCGUAAAAAAAAUUUAAAUAAUCAUUGUUAUGCUCCCAAUUAUUGUACUUACACGGGUUGAAUAUGGAUAUGAGACCCCGGAUAAUGGUAUAGGAAAUUAACGUUAUGUACAUCACCUAACUCUGCUUACGUUGCAGACUAGGAAUAGAAAGCUCUGAGUAUGGGAUAUUCUAAUAAACUCAUUAUUUUAUACCGUAAAAGUCUUAAAUUUUUUAUUCUCAAUAAUAUAAUUAUUUCAAAAGAUUUAGUUAUUCCAUACCAUCCAAUUUGGUAAGGACACAGUCCCUUCGUCAGUUGUGAAUUCUAAAACUCCGUAGUGAGUAGUUCUUUCAACCGAAGAUUUUCAAUUCAAAUAACAUUGGAUAUUCUAAUAAACCCAUUAUUUUAUGCCGUAAAAGUCUUAAAUUUGUUAUUCUCAACAAUAUAAUUAUCUCUGAAGAUUUAAUUAUUCAAUUCCAUCCAAUUUGGUAAGGACACAGUCCCUUCAUUAGCUAUGAAUUCUAAAACUCCGCAGUGAGUAGUUCUUUCGGCGGAAGAAUUUUUCAAUUCAAAUAACAUAAGAUAUUCUAAUAAACCCAUUAUUUUAUGCCGUAAAAGUCUUAAAUUUGUUAUUCUCAAUAAUAUAAUUAUUUUUAAAGAUUUAGUUAUUCCAUUCAUCCAAUUUGGUAAGGACACAGUCCCUUCGUUUGUGCAGUGACUGGUUCUUUCGGCAGAAGAAUUUUUCAAUUUAAAUAACAUAAGAUAUUCUAAUAAACCCAUUAUUUUAUAUCAAAAAAAAAGUCUUAAAUUUGUUAUUCUCAAUAAUAUAAUUAUUUCGGAAGAUUUAGUUAUUCCAUUCCAUCUUAUUUAUUUAUAGAUAUACUUUAUUUUUAUUUUUAUUAUUUAUUGAAUAAUUAAUAUAUAUGAUAUAAUAAUAGACCAAUAAAUCAUAUACAUUGAUCAUUUAAUAAUUUGAAAAAAUAAAUUGUAUUUUAUGAAUAAAAAUAAAGAGAAUAUUAAAAAGUAAAUAUAAAUAAAAAUGAGUGUUACACUGAUAAUAUAAAUUAACUUUAUACUAGCAACAUGUAUGAAGUUUAAUAUUUUAAAUUACUUAUAUAAUAUUUCAGAAUUAUAUAUAUAUCUAUUGGAUAAAGUGUAUUUCCAUUGAACCCAAAAUAUAAAUAUUUUAUUUUAUCUAAAAUAUAAAAGUUCUUAAAUAAUUUAAUGUCUAAGUAAAGUUUAGUUAUGUUUUAUAUUUAUUUUUUAAUUAUUUAAUGAAACUAACUAGUAGAAAAAUCUAAACUUCUUUCUUCAAAAAUAUAUUUUACAGGUCCUUCAAUUAGUUACGAAUAUAAACUUACCAAGGCAUUCUAGAGCCGAAGAAGACAUGAUAUCCGAAAGAAAAGAGAAUUUGCAUUAGCUAUUGAAAUUAUCACAAUGGUUGAUGAUUGAUACAAAAUAAUAAAAUGUAACUAAGUAUUAUUGAAUAUUUUACAAGGAUGAUCUAUGCUUAUAUUUGAAAACCAUCUGAUGACAUAUCCUAUUGAGAGAUGAGACCGAAAAACAACGGUAAGAAUGCUCAAAAAUUGUACUCUGUCGCAGAUUCCUCCUAUAUCCAUAAAAAACCUCAUUGCACUGAUGAUCAUUCUGCUGCAGAUUCCACAUAUGCCCAUAAAAAACCUCAUUACACUGAUGAUCAUUCUGCUGCAGAUUCCUCCUAUGACCAUAAAAAAACUCAUUGCACUGAUGAUCAUUCUGCCGCAGAUUCCUCCUAUGCCCAUAAAAAACCUCAUUCCAUUGAUGAUCAUUCUGCCGCAGAUUCCUCCUAUGCCCAUAAAAAAACCCAUAGCACUGAUGAUCAUUCUGUUGCAGAUUCCUCUUAUGCCCAUAAAAACCUCAUUGCACUGAUGAUCAUUCUGCCGCAGAUUCCUCCUAUGCCCAUAAAACACCCCAUUGCACUAAUGAUCAUUCUCCCGCCGCAGAUUCCUCCUAUGCCCAUAAAAAACCCCAUUGCACCGAUGAUCAUUCUGCCUCCGUAGAUUCUUCCUAUGCCCAUAAAAAAAACCAUUGCACUGAUGAUCAUUCUGCCGCCGCAGAUUCCUUCUAUGCCCAUAAAAAACCUCAUCCCAUUGAUGAUCAUUCUGCCGCAGAUUCCUCCUAUGCCCAUAAAAAACCCCAUUGCACUGGUAAUCAUUCUGCCGCCGAAGAUUCCUCCUAUGCCCAUAAAAAACCCCAUUGCACUGAUGAUCAUUCUGCCGCCGAAGAUUCCUCUUAUGCCCAUAAAAAAACUCAUUGCACAGAUUAUUAUUCUGCCGUCGCAGAUUCCUCCUAUGCCCAUAAAAAACCUCAUUGCACUGAUGAUCAUUCUGCCGCAGAUUCCGCCUAUGCCCAUAAAAAAACCCAUUGCACUAAUGAUCAUUCUGCCGCAGAUUCCUCCUAUGCCCAUAAAAAACCCAUUGCACAGAUGAUCAUUCUGCCGCAGAUUCCUCUUAAGCCCACAAAAAACCUCAUUGCACUGAUGAUCAUUCCGCCGCAGAUUCAUCCUAUGCCCAUAAAAAACCCCAUUGCACUGAUGAUCAUUCUGCUGCAGAUUCUUCAUAUGUCCAUAAAAAUGCUUAUUGCACUGAUGAUCAUUUUGCCACAGAUUCCUCUUAUGCCCAUAAAAAUUUCCAUUGCACUGAUGAUCAUUCUGCUGCAGAUUCCUUCUAUGCCCAUAAAAAAAACCAUUGCACUGAUGAUCAUUCUGCUGUAGAUUCCUCCUAUGCCCAUAAAAAAAGUCAUUGCACUGAUGAUCAUUCUGGCGCAGAUUCCUCCUAUGCCCAUAAAAAACCUCAUUGCACUGAUGAUCAUUCUGCCGCAGAUUCAUCCUAUGCCCAUUAAAAAUCCCAUUGCACUGAUGAUCAUUCUGCCGCAGAUUCCUCCUAUGCUCAUAAAAAAAACCAUUGCGCUGAUGAUCAUUCUGCCGCGGAUUUCUCCUAUGCCCAUAAAAAACCUCAUUGCACUGAUGAUCAUUCUGCCACAGAUUCCUCCUAUGCCCAUAAAAAAACCCAUUGCACUGAUGAUCAUUCUGCCGCAGAUUCCUUCUAUGCCCAUAAAAAACUUCAUUCCAUUGAUGAUCUAGAUGAUCAUUCUGCUGCAGAUUCCUCUCAUACUCAUGAAUAUCCUUGUUCAACCGAUUUAGAUGCUCAUUCCGCCACAGAUUCCUGUGAUACUGAUGAAUAUCCUCAGCAAAUUGAUCUAGAUCCUCAUAAAAAUCCUCAUCCGAUUGAUCAUCAUCAUAUUCAUAUGAGUGAUUACUUAUUUGAUCUUCAGACAAAUUGUUUUCAAGUGAAACAUUAUUCACCUCUUGCAAAUCCUCAUUCAACAGAUUUUCAUCAGAAUUCUACAAGAAAAAACAGUUAAUGCAACCACAUUAAUAACCAUAAUAAGCAACAAAGAACUGAGCAUUAACAUAUAUAUUCUGAAUCAAGAACAUACAAACUUUAAAAUAAAAAAGACAAAUAACAUACCAUAUUGAGCUGAGAAUAGAUGAUAUUCGAUUAACUGCAAAAGGAAAACAAAAACAACUAUAAGCAACAUAAAAUAACUAGCAAUAAUCAAGUUUCAUAUAUAGAACAUUAUCAUCGCACUAACCUUGGAAUUAGUGGUUUGAAGAAAGUCCAAGGCUUUGAAGAAAAUUUCUAGUUUCAGAAACAAAUAGUGGUUUGAGAAUAAGGUUUUAACUAGUUUAUAUAAUGGCAUGUGAGAGGUCCAAAGGAAUCCUAAUAAACCCAUUAUUUUAUGCCUUAAAAUUCUUAAAUUUAUUAUUCUUAAUAAUAUAAUUAUUUUAGAAGAUUUAUCUUAUUUAUUCAUGGAUAUAACUUAUUUUUUUAGAUUUAUUAAAUAACUAAUCUAUCUGAUAUAAUAAUAGGUCAUAUACAUUUAUUAUAUAAUAAAUUUAAAAAAUAAAUUGUAAUUUAUAAAUAGAAUCAAAGAGAAUAUUAAAAAAUAAAUUUAAGUAAAAAGAAGUGAUAUAUUAAUAAUAUAAAUUAAUUUUAUACCAUUAAUGUGUAUGCCACCAAGUUUAAAAUUUUAAAUUAUUUAUAUGACAUAUUAGAAUGAUAUAUUCUUACGAUGUCACUAAAUCUAAAAUAUAAAUAUUUUAUUUUAUCUCAAAUAUAAAAGUUCUUAAAUAAUUUAAUGUCUAAAUAAAGUUUAGCAAUUUCUUAUAUUUAUUUUUUAAUUAUUUAAUAAAAACUGAUAUUUCUACCUCUAACUACUAGAAAAAUCUAAACUUCUUUCUUCAAAAAUAUAUUUUAUAGGUCCCUUCAAUUAGUUAAUAAAAUUAAUUUAAAUAUUAAAAUAUUAUUUUCUUAAUCNNNNNNNNNNNNNNNNNNNNNNNNNNNNNNNNNNNNNNNNNNNNNACAAAAAGGGGGGAAAAAACGGCCGAGAUUUUUUUUUUUUUUUUUGGGGAAAAAAGGGCCCCCAAAUGAAAAAUCCAAAUGGUCAAAAAUUUAAUAUAUUACGAAUAUUUAAUGUUUUGUUAAUUUAAAAUUUUAAGGCGUUCAAUUGGAAAAAGUAUAAUGUUCUAUAGAUAUAUUGUAUAAAAUAUAAUACUAAUUAAAAUAACUAAAACAAUAAUGUAACUUUCCCAUUAUAAAUAAUACAUUACAAUCAGUUUAAUUUAAAACAUUAUUAAUUUGCAUAUUUAAAAUAGCAUGAUAUACAUAUAUAUAUAUAAUAUAUAGUAUACAUAUAUAUAUAUAUAAAGUAUAUACUAUAUAUAAUUGUAUUAUAUAUAUUUAAAUUAUAUAAUUAUUAAUAUAAAUAUAUAUCUAUAUACAUAUUAUUAUAUAUAUAUAAUAUAUAUAUAUAUAAUAUAUAUAGUUAUAUAAUAUAUAUAUCUAUAGUAUAUAUAUAUAUAUAUAUUAUAUAUAUUAGUUAAUAUAUUAUAAUAUAUAUAUACAGUUUAUAGUAAUAUCAUACAUAUAUAGUAAGCGAGAGAGGGAAUUAUAUUGAAAUACACUCGUCAGUAAAAGAGUUUAUCACUCAUCAGUUAGAUUAUAGACGUUGGAUAUUAAAGAAGUUUUAACUUUUAUUGUUAAAAAUCUAUAAGUAAUACAACGGCGUGAUGGUGAUGAACCGACGGUCGUAAAACUAUUGUUACACUCGACAGCGAUAGUAAUUAAUCUCAUAUAUAUAUAUAUAUAUAUAUAUAUAUAUAUUAUAUAUAUAUAUAUAUAUAAUAUAUAUAUAUAUAAGUAUAUUAUUAUAUAUAUUUGUAAUAGUGCAUUAAGGAAGUAGUAUGAUUUUAAUAUUUAAAAUUAAUUUUUAAUUAACUAAUUGAAGGCAACUAUAAAUAUAUUUUUGAAGAAAGAAGUUUUUGAUUUUUCUAGUAGUUAGAGCAGAAAUAUUAGUUUUUUAUUAAAUAAUAAAACUAAAUAUAAAAAUUGCUAAACCUUUAUUUAGACAUUAAAUUAUUUAAGAACUUUUAUAUUUUAGAGAAAUUAAAAUAUUUUUUUUAGAUUUAGUGACAGCCGUAAGAAUAUAUCAUUCUAAUAUCUCAUAUAAAUAAUAAAACUUUAAACUUGUGGUAUACACAUUAAUGGUAUAAAAUUAUUUUAUUUAUUAAUAUCAUCUUUUAUACUUAAAUUUAUUUUUAUAUUCUCUUUGAUUCCUAUUUAUAAUUACAAUUUCAUUUUUUAAAUUUAUUAAUAUAAUAAAUGUAUAUGUCUUAUUAUUAUAUCAGAUAGAUUAGUUAUUUAAUAAAUCUAAAAAAAAGUAAUUAUAUCCAUGAAUAAAUAAGAUAAAUCUUCGUAAAAUAAUUAUAUUAUUAAGAAUAACAAUUUAAGAAUUUUAAGGCAUAAAUAAUGGGUUUAUAGGAUUCUUUGAACCUCUCACGUGCCAUUAUAUAAACUAGUUAAAAACCUUAUUCUCAACCACUAUUUCUUUCUGAAACUAGAAUUUUCUUCAAAGCACUGGAGCUUUGCUUCGGCUUAAUAAUAAUCAUUUCGCAUUAAUGAAAUAAUAAGGUAAACUCAAUUAAUUUAAAGCAUUAAUAGUUGGAAUUUAAAAUAGCAUUAUACUAUAUAUUAUAUAUAUAUAAUAUAUAAUAUAUAUUAUAUAUAGUAUAUAUAUAUAUAUAUAAUAAUUAAUAGGUGUCUUAAAUAUUUAUAUAUUAAAUUUGACAUUGAUUAUGCUCCCAAUUAAAAAAUAUAAAACUUUUCCAUUAAUCAAAUCAAAAUAUAAAAUAAUACCUCUUUGACAGAUCGUUUUCUAAUUUUCUUUUAAUAAAUAUUUAAUUUGAUAAAAAUUUAAAAGGUUAGUUGUUCAUUUAAUUAAUUUAAAUUCAUUAAUAAAUUAAAGAUUAGUUGCCGUAAAAAAAAUAAUUAAAUAAUCAUAUUUUUCCAUAAUAAUUUUUUUCAUAAGAAUUUCUCAAAUGCUCAUCUUUUAAAUAAAAAAUAUUCUUGCUCACGACUCCAAUCAAUUAGAUUGGCGUCCGCAUUAUACAUUUUAGAAGGUAAAUUAGGCUCAUUGACGCCUUUAUUAGCCAAGUCAGCCCAAUUGUUUGCUUUUUAAUUGGUAAUCAAAUAUUGUAUUUUGAUAAUACUGUUUUUUGUAUAAAUUGAGGUGUGAUGAGAAUCAUUUUUUCACACAUUUUCUUCGUUUGUUUUAACAUGAGUAGUAAAAGACAUGAACAUGUUUUUUAUUCGAGAACUAAAUCUCUGAUGAAGAUGUGUUUUUGAGUUAACUGAAGUUUCGGGCAACUUGAGAGGAAUUUGAUCCCCUGGUUAGACAGGGAGAUUAACGAUGGUGAAAGAGUUAGAAGAAUUGACAGACUUGUUUCGUACAUCUCUAUUCUAGAUGACAAUGAUGGUAUCCAACUUAUGUGUGUGGUUGUCACGUGCUCAAGAGCCAUUACCUUUAAGUCAUGCAUAUUGUCUGCCUCAACAAGAAACAAGUCUAUUGUCAUCUCUAUUGUUUCGUACAAUAUAUUGUUCAAGUUUGUCACGUGCUGAGGCAGACAAUAUACUUCUCUUUUAAUCUGAUUUUGGGUACAUAUGAAAUACUGAUCAUUGGUCAAUGUGUUGGGCCUAAGGAAAAUUGUUGUACUUACACUGGUUGAAUAUGGAUAGGAGACCCCGAGUAAUGCCAUAGGAAAUUAACGUUCUGUACAUCGCCUAACUCUGCUUACGUUACGGACUAGUAAUAGAAAACUCUAAGUAGUGGUUAGUGAGUUGUUUAAUGAGGAAUCGACUAUAACGGUUUUGUUAAUCUGAUGUGAGGUUAGAGUGGUUAGAUGAUUCAUACAGGGUAUCAAACAUCAACAAUAGAGGAAUGAGGGAUUCUACAACACAAUCUGACCGUAUUCAUGACAUUGUUUUCUCAUUUAUUUACUUUUUACACUGAAACACGACCCCCUUCCCCCUUUUACUAGUUUUUCUAAAUUGCACACAUUUUGUCUUGCUUGAGUCCAUGUGGAUUCAAUCUUUUUUAUUACUUGGAUAUUAUCGGUACGCUUGCCGAGAAGUCAUCAAGUUUUUGGUACUGUUGCUGAGGCUUGUUGAGUUUUCAACAAGGCGAUGUUUGUGUAAUUUUUAUUUAUAAGUAUUUUUAAUUCUGAUUUUAUUUUCUUGUUUAUUAUAGUGCUACUGAGGUAUUUUUUUGUUUGUGGAUGUGCACUUCAAGAUCAACAUUAUUUCCAUUUGAUCUAGAAAUUGAAAGAAGCACAUGUGCUAUAAGAAAAAUAGUUAGAGAAGCAACUAUGGACAAUAGAAUAUCAGAAGAAGAGCAACUAUCAAGUUAUUCUAACUCUGAAGAAGAAGUCAUCAUGGCAGUUGCAUACACCCCCUCCCUAUGGGGGACUAUUGUAAACGAACUGAUAAAGGACAGGUUUUUAGGGGGUUUGUACCAGCAUACCCCACUAAUUUUGAUAUUAAAAAUUUUGUACUUUCAGUUUUAAGAGAAAAUUCAUUCGACUGUAACGCGAUUAGACACCCAUUGACGCAUCUUGCACGCUUCUAUGAAACAACUUCUAUGUGCAAAUCUACUGAUGUCACUGAAUACCAGGUUAAAUUGAGGUUGUUUGGGUUCUCAUUUUAUUAGUAACUAAGAACCAUGAAAUUUUGAGCAUAAACCAUGAUGCGUCAAUCAAGAAUUUGGAGACUUAGAUGUGUUGGACCUAAGAUCAAUUAUUAUACUUACGCUGGUUGAAUAUGGAUAUGAGACCCCGGAUAAUGGUAUAGGAAAUUAACGUUAUGUAUAUCACCUAACUCUGCUUACGUUGCAGAUGAG